rnacentral:siRNA from 1 species
UAAAGGUCGGGAUGCAUUUG